rnacentral:tRNA from 1 species
GGGCGAUUAGCUCACCGGGGGAGCACUUCGUGGACACCGAAGGGGUCACUGGUUCGAUCCCAGUAUCGCCAACCG